UUGAAUGUUAGUGAUGUCUGAGUACUAUAAAAUAGUUAAAACUUUCAACAACGGAUCUCUUGGUUCUGGCAUCGAUGAAGAACGCAGCGAAAUGCGAUAAGUAAUGUGAAUUGCAGAAUUCAGUGAAUCAUCGAAUCUUUGAACGCACAUUGCACCCGGUGGUAUUCCGCCGGGUAUGCUUGUUCGAGCGUCAUUAUAACCACUCAAGCCUGUCUUGGUGUUGGGGAUUGCGAGUUUCGCAGCCCUAGAGUCCAGUAGCGUCACCUGUAGGUCCUAAGCGUAGUAAUUUCUCCUCGCUACAGAGCCUGCUGGUGGAUAGUGUAAAUCCAGUUAAGUCUGCGUGUCCUGCUAUUAAACCCCCAAAUUUUUAAGGUUGACCUCGGAUCAAGUAGGGAUACCCGCUGAACUUAAGCAUAUCAAUAAGCGGAGGA
rnacentral:rRNA from 1 species